CCCGUGUGCUGACUGAGAGUUUUAUAAAGCCUGUAAUCACUACGGACCCUUUGAAAAUACCUUAAUGCUUUUUAAAUCAUGGCUCGCCACAGAUAAUCGUGGAGUAAAUGGUCAAUUUAAUUUUAUAAAGUAGUCACUAUGUUUUGAAGUUAAAUGCUCUGUGUUCAUAUAAAACAUAUAUACCGAAACUAAAAGAGACAUUAGUCGUGCGAUUCGCUGUUUAUGCAGACAUGGCACCAUUCGAAUUGACAAGGCUGAAUCUUCUGAUCGUGCUUUCACUUGGAUUUUAUGCCAACAGCGAAUUCGAAUUCACUAACAUAAAAUGUACACCCUUGGACAAAGAAUUUAUGGAUAUGGAAGCUUGCUUUUUGAAAUCAAAAAAUCGGACAUACAAGUAUUUAACCCUUAGAACCAAAUUUCACCAAUUGCCGAUUAAUGAUCUUUCGGUAAGGGUCGAGGUGUUACAAAAGUUAAGUGGCUACAAACCGUUUCUCUAUAACUUUACGGCCGAUGCUUGUCAGUUCCUGAAUGGAAGGCGAAAUCCUUUGGUUAGAUUCUUUUACGAUAUGUUUGCCUCCUACUCCAACGCGAACCAUUCAUGUCCUUACAAUCACGAUGUACUCGUGGAAAAGCUGCCUAUCAGCUUUUUGAAGUAUCGGACAACCGUUGUUCUUCCAGUUCCGGAAGGAGAUUACCAAGUGCACAGUGUUUACACGGUCCGCGGUAAAGCACGCCUGGAUCUUAAAGUUUAUGCAAGAAUAUACUAGGAAAUUCCGUAAAGCAAGAGAACCUAGACUCAAAAACAAAAUCCCCUCUCAAAACAGUUCUCCCAAUCUUAAAACUGAUCCAAGAUCGAUACAAUCUCAAGUUCUCAAUUCAAGAUGAAUUAUUGUAAGACUAAUUUUUUUUUGGCUUGUGACAUCUAACUCUAAUGUCAAAUAAUUGCAUAAGAGCACUAAAAUAAUGCAAUCAACGUUUUGUGUUAUCAGAAAAACUUUUUGCAAUCGGGAUAUUUCAUUUUGUCACCGUUUCUUUUUACUUAUACGGCUCUUUUUGUAUGUGACGAAUUUUAAUGUUUUUGCACAAAUAAGAAAUUAAUAAUUUUUCCUUCUGCUGAUAUGGACGAAGUUAAAACAAAAAGAAACGCUUGAUUUAAGUGCCUCAACUUUCGAAUACCCGUUUAAUUUUAAAUUCAAAUUCCAAUAACUUUUGGCCAUGCCAAGGCCGUUUUAACUUAGUUAUUCAUAGCUUGUAAAAUAUGAAGGCGAUUGGAACAAUU